GACGAACGCUGGCGGCGUGCUUAACACAUGCAAGUCGAACGGAAAGGCCCUGCUUUUGUUGGGUGCUCGUGUGGCGAACAGGUGAGUAUCACGUGAGUAACCUGUCCUUGUCUUUGGGAUAACUUUUGGAAACUGGGGCUAUAACCGGAUAUGAGCUCCUGCUGCAUGGGGGGGGAUGGAAAGAUUCGGCGGUUGGGGAUGGAAUCGCGGCUUAUCAGCUUGUUGGUGGGGUAGUGGCUUACCAAGGCUUUGACGGGUAGCCGGCCUGAGAGGUUGACCGGCCACAUGGGGACUGAGAUACGGCCCAGACUCCUACGGGACGCAGCAGUCGGGAAUAUUGCACAGUGGGCGGAAGCCUGAUGCAGCAACGCCGCGUGCGUGAUGACGGCCUUCGGGUUGUAAACCGCUUUCGCCUGUGACGAAGCGUGAGUGACGGUAAUGGGUAAAGAAGCACCGGCUAACUACGUG
rnacentral:rRNA from 1 species